UACGGAGGGUGCAAGCGUUAUCCGGAUGUACUGGGUUUAAAGGGUGUGUAGGCGGACUUUUAAGUCCGUGGUGAAAUCUCCGGGCUCAACCCGGAAACUGCCAUGGAUACUAUUGGUCUUGAAUGUUGUUGAGGUGGGCGGAACGGGUCAUGUAGCGGUGAAAUGCAUAGAUAUGACCCGGAACACCGAUUGCGAAGGCAGCCCACUAAGCAAUGAUUGACGCUGAGGCACGAAAGCGUGGGGAUCAAACAGG
rnacentral:rRNA from 1 species